rnacentral:lncRNA from 1 species
GCUUAAGACAUUGGACCGUAGGUCUCUGGAGAGUGGGGGGUGGAGAGGCUUUGGCAGCUGAGUGCCAGCUCCCCCAGACAUGAUAACGCUGGGACCCCACUCCUGCACGCCAGAAGAGAGGGGCUAUCUCCACACAGGUCUAAGUCUUCAUACUUACUAGGACCAUUUGGAAGCUGAGGCUCUGGGGAUGUAAGUCCUGGUUUCUCCUCCCUGUCUUCCUCCAGGUCCUUCUUCAAGGUCGGCUUGGGGCUCAGAGCCUUUGGGUCACCUUUCAUGACGUUAGUCUCUGGAAGCAGGAAGUCCUCUUCCUGACAAUGAAAAACCAAGAGCAAUGACUCCAUGUCUAAACUGGGGGAAGUUUAGGCAUCUCUGCCUUUUCCUGAUUGAAUGCACCAACAUUCAAAACCACCACACCAAUGAUACAGUCCAGCAGCCACACGACUUCCUCCCGUUCCUUCUCUCACCUCCACCCAGACAUCAAGGCCUCACACACUCACCUGCCUCCUGGACGGUGCAGGGACCCUGGGCAGGAUCUGCAGCUCUCGGUGGGCCUGGCCUUCCCAUGGACGCAUCUGGUUCACAGAGGAGGCCUGCUGGCUGGACACGUCUCUCGGAUCAUCCCAGACACUGGCGGGGCCUUCAGCCAUCUUGACAUCUGAGUCCUGAAUGAGAUAUUCCUUGCCGAACAAGUUGACUACAAACUGUAGAGGGAAAAAAGACAAUCAGACUCACCAUGAGAACCUGAAAGUAGCUCUCAUAUUCCCUGGGUCCUGCCAUAAUGCUCACACUUGACUGUAAUUAAUGUUCAAAUCUGCCUUCCCGAUGCAGAGUCAGCUCUGUGGAUACAGCAAUCCUGUCUGAAUUUUUUCCUCUCUAGACUCCAGCACAUGCCUGCACCUGGAAUUUUCUAGAUAAGUACACAAAUAUGGGUCCUUUAGAUGAAAGAGUCUAAACCAAAGAGAAGACAGGGAGAAAUAUUCUGGGUGAAUCCAACCCAAUUG